UACGGGGGGGGCAAGCGUUGUUCGGAAUUACUGGGCGUAAAGGCGCGUAGGCGGCCAUCUAAGUCAGACGUGAAAUCCCCCGGCUUAACCUGGGAACUGCGUCUGAUACUGGAAGGCUUGAGUAUGGGAGAGGGAUGUAGAAUUCCAGGUGUAGCGGUGAAAUGCGUAGAUAUCGGGAGGAACACCAGUGGCGAAGGCGGCUCGCUGGGCCAUUCCUGACGCUGAGACGCGAAAGCGUGGGGAGCAAACAGG
rnacentral:rRNA from 1 species